UAAAGAAAAUCAAUUCCGGUUGAUCCUGCCGGACCCUACUGCUAUCGGGAUGAGACUAAAACAUGCUAGUUGUGCGCACCCAAGCUAUGUUGGGAGCGCAGCGAACGGCUCCGUAACACGUAGUCAAUCUAACCUUAGGACGGGAAUAACCCCGGGAAACUGGGGCUAAUACCUGAUAGGCGAAAAAGUCUGGAAUGACUUUUCACUCAAAGAGUUCUGGGAACAUGCUCCUUUAAUUGCCUAAGGAUGAGACUGCGACCGAUCAGGUUGUUGGUGGGGUAACGGCCUACCAAGCCUAUAACCGGUACGGGCCCUGAGAGGGGGAGCCCGGAGAUGGGAACUGAGACAAGGUCCCAGACCCUACGGGGUGCAGCAGUUGCGAAAACUCUACAAUGCACGAAAGUGUGAUAGGGUUAUCCCGAGUGCCGUCCGAUGAGGAUGGCUUUUCCCUGGUGUAAGGAGCCGGGGGAAUAAAGGGGGGGCAAGACUGGUGUCAGCCGCCGCGGUAAUACCAGCCCCCUGAGUGGUAGGGAUGAUUAUUUGGCCUAAAGCGUCCGUAGCCGGCUUAGCAAGUCUUUCGUUAAAUCCGAUGACUUAAUCAUCGGUCUGCGAGAGAUACUACUAGGCUUGAGGACGGGAGAGGUCGACGGUAUUUCGGGGGUAGGGGUAAAAUCCUAUAAUCCUCGGAGGACCACCAGUGGCGAAGGCGGUCGACUAGAACGUGCCUGACGGUGAUGGACGAAAGCUGGGGGAGCAAACCGGAUUAGACACCCGGGUAGUCCCAGCUGUAAACGAUGCGGGCUAGGUGUUGGGGCAGCUACGAGCUGCUCCAGUGCCGCAGAGAAGUCAUUAAGCCCGCCGCCUGGGAAGUACGGUCGCAAGACUGAAACUUAAAGGAAUUGGCGGGGGAGCACCACAAGGGGUGAAGCCUGCGGUUCAAUUGGAGUCAACGCCAGGAAACUUACCGGGGCUGACAGCAGGGUGAAGGCCAGACUGAAGAUCUUGCCAGACAAGCUGAGAGGUGGCGCAUGGCCGUCGACAGUUCGUGCCGUGAGGUGUCCUGUUAAGUCAGGUAACGAACGAGACCCCCACCAUUAGUUGCCAGCGGAUCCCAAUGGGAUGCCGGGCACAAUAAUGGGACUGCCGCCGAUAAGGCGGAGGAGGGAGGGGGCCACGGCAGGUCAGUAUGCCCCGAAUGCCUCGGGCCACACGCGGGCUGCAAUGGUAGGGACAAAGGGUUCCAACCUCGAAAGGGGAAGGUAAUCCCCAAACCCUACUUCAGUCGGGAUCGAGGGCUGAAACUCGCCCUCGUGAACAUGGAAUCCCUAGUAACCGCGUGUCAUCAUCGCGCGGUGAAUACGUCCCCGCUCCUUGCACACACCGCCCGUCGCUCCAUCCAAGUUGGGUUUAGAUGAGGCUUGGUCUUCUUGGCCAUGUCGAAUCUGGGUUCAG
rnacentral:rRNA from 1 species